rnacentral:lncRNA from 1 species
UUGAGCAUGGUCUAACUAUUUUCAUCUUUCUACUAAUAACUUAACUUGAUUUUCCUAAGUACACAAAAAAUGUUAAAAAAAUUAGGAUUUCAAGAAACGUGAACAAAAUUUUAUUUACCCAAAAUACUUAAAAUCCAAAACCUGAUUGCUUAGUCAAAAAUCAUAAUCUUCAUAAAUCUCCAAAAGAGAAAUUUCCUGGAAGCAAGAUUAAUCGUUGAAGCAAGCUGAUCCCUCAAAACUCAAAUGCGAAGAAGCACUGACCUAAUAAUCAGAUUAAUCACCAAUAUACAGUAAAUAUGUCCCCAUGAACGAUUUGAAACAACUCUGCUUAAACUAAUAAAAACUCAACAACGAUGAUCGAUCUUCAUAUUGGUUUUAGCUUGGGUCAAUUUUUUUUGCAAGAAAAGUUCAGUGGCCAUUGAAACUUAAAAACCAUGACUUAAAUUAAACCGCUAAAAACAACAAAACAAAAUGGUAAGCAUCAUAGAUGCAGACUCCAAGAUUUGGAAAUUUACAUAUUAUACUAUAGGACAACUAGAGAAUAUAUAGGAUGGCUCUUACAAACGUUUGUUUCUUUGAAAGCAUUUAACUCCUUAGCAUCAUUAAUGUAGACUCCAAGUGUUGGGAAUUUGCAUAUCUUACUAUAGGCUAACUAAGGAAUAAAGAGGAUGACUUCUACAAACCCUUGUCACUCUGAAAGCAUUUAAAAAUCUAUAAAACAAGCGCCUAAAGAGUUUGGCACAUGGUUAGAAAGAUUUGAAAGUUUAAAUUUCUAUUAAUUAUAAAGGAAGGAUUUUAUGCAGUAAAGGGAUAAAGGCUUAAAUGGGCUACUAGCAAACUCCCGAAAUGAUAGGACAAAUUAAUGACUUCAGGAUUCUGCUUCAGGAUUCCGAUUUAGAAUUUAAAACUAUGGUUUAUUAUGAUAAGGUUAACAUUGGAAAGGGAGUUGAGUGGGUUGUGAAUAGUUUUAGCAUGAGCUAAGAACAUAAUGAUGAAAGAUCGGAUAGGUCUCUAUAACAUAAGGAAUAGGGGAAAGAAGAAGAGAAAUGAGGAAUCAGACACAUAAAUAUGGAGAGAUAAUAAGAAAUGGUGUAUAUUUUAAUACUAGAACUCAAACCUCUAAACAUGAACCCAUGACAUGUGAUCACUCAUUACUCACCUUGUAACCAAUUGCCUGCCCCCAAGAGUUGAUAUUAGGUACAUUGAAAAGUCUCAGCUUCCUAUUUGUAAUCAAAAUUGAAAGAAAAGGGUAAAACAAACAUCAUGAAUGGAUGCUACGGCCGUAAAUUCCUUCAUUAUAAUAUUUUAAAAUGUUAAUAAUACUCGCAAAACAGUAAAAAAUAACAAAUAGCAGAUCUCCCUUUAAAUAGCCUACAAGGCUCAUAUUAGCCCUUAUUAUCUUUGCAUGCAAUGGGACAUUAUCUAGGCUGUUCCUUGGAUGUCCUGUUGGGACUUUGGAGCAUCAAUAGGAGUAAGAGGGAGAUGAAAUCAAAGAUUUUCCACCAUGCCUUCCAUUGUAAUCCAAUGAAUAAAACAUAAUACAUCAAAUAAGCUGCAGCAAGUCAAUGAAACAUAUCAACUUGGUGUAUUUCUUGUGCACCCUCAGUCUCUUGUGGCAUACUUUUUGAUCAAUAUUGCACCAACCACACCUAAAAGUCUGCUUGAUGGUAAAUAUUUGUCCACAAUGCUAAUCAAACAAAAAAGAGACCUAACAUAGG